CAUUAAGUCCCGUCAAAGCAACGUGGAUUUGGUUGUAGUCUCACAGAAACGUGACCAGAACGUGGUUACACUUUUUAAAAAGCUAACACCUGAACAACUGAAAAAGGCAGCACGACUACUGCAGGGGGAUGGAAAGAGGAAGCUGGGAAACGCAGCUGGGGACGGCGGCGCGAGGGGCGAGGAGCAUCGAGAACGUUACACGCCGACAGCUGAACCGCCAUGGCUACCCCACGGUCAAAACGUGCUCCAAUUUCUGGCUCACCGGGCUCCAUUUUGGAGUACACAAUUGUUCACAGUCAUCACCAACGUGAAGGUGCCUUGGGAAACAGCAGGUACCAAAGUUGGACCGUGACUUGUCUGGCGCUCCCGAUCCCCACGCGUGUCAGGACGAGCGACGACAAAAUUCUCGCAGAAUUUUUGAAAGCUAUUAUUUAAUGAUGAUGUUAUUCGCCAGGCAAUUAAAAAUACUUUAAAUUA